rnacentral:rRNA from 1 species
AUUGCGAAGGCAGCUUGCUGGACCGUAACUGACGUUGAGGCUCGAAGGUGCGGGUAUCGAACAGGAUUAGAUACCCUGGUAGUCCGCACGGUAAACGAUGGACACCCGCCGUGGGCGACAUACAGUCCGCGGCCAAGCGAAAGCGUUAAGUGUCCCGCCUGGGGAGUACGCCGGCAACGGUGAAACUCAAAGGAAUUGACGGGGGCCCGCACAAGCGGAGGAACAUGUGGUUUAAUUCGAUGAUACGCGAGGAACCUUACCCGGGCUCGAACCUCCCCCGAAUCCGGCGGAGACGCCGGAGCCAGCAAUGGCGGGGGCGGAGGUGCUGCAUGGUUGUCGUCAGCUCGUGCCGUGAGGUGUCGGCUUAAGUGCCAUAACGAGCGCAACCCCUCCCUCCAGUUGCCAUCGGGUAAUGUCGGGGACUCUGGAGGCACUGCCAUCGCAAGAUGCGAGGAAGGCGGGGAUGACGUCAAAUCAGCACGGCCCUUACGUCCGGGGCUACACACGUGUUACAAUGGGGGGUACAGAGGGCCGCUGCACGGCGACGUUCGGCCAAUCCCUAAAUCCCCUCCCAGUUCGGACCGGAGUCUGGAACCCGACUCCGCGAAGCUGGAUUCGCUAGUAAUCGCGCAUCAGCCAUGGCGCGGUGAAUACGUUCCCGGGCCUUGUACACACCGCCCGUCAAGCCAUG